rnacentral:rRNA from 1 species
UACGAGGGGGGCAAGCGUUGUCCGGAAUUAUUGGGCGUAAAGAGCUCGUAGGCGGUCUGUCGCGUCUGCUGUGAAAACCUAGGGCUUAACUCUGGGCGUGCAGUGGGUACGGGCAGGCUAGAGUGCGGUAGGGGGAGACUGGAAUUCCUGGUGUAGCGGUGAAAUGCGCAGAUAUCAGGAGGAACACCGGUGGCGAAGGCGGGUCUCUGGGCAAUAACUGACGCUGAGGAGCGAAAGCGUGGGGAGCGAACAGG